UAAAUUUUAGGUAUACUUUAUCGGUAUGCUUAAAGUUAUCAUUAUAAUAAUGCACUGACAGUAUAUUUCUAAAAUACAUUAUUUAGUAUUCUUUAGAAACAGUAUAUUUUAAGCACAUUUUGAAAGUAUAUGGGGUGUACAAAUGUAUAUUAUUUUAUGGAGAAAUAACGUGGGCUUAAAAUUACGAGAGAGCAGUAUGUUCUGUUACAUUUUAUAUUAUAGAUGUAUACAUUUGUAAUAUACUAUUAACAUAAUAAGGUAACUUCACUAUAGUCAAGCAUUGGAUAAACCAAUUAACUGUGUUUUACCACAAAAUAACCAUGGUUUUGCUAAUAAUAAUCAAUACACCAAAAAAAAAAACAUGGUUACUAAACUUUUACCACAAAAAAAAAAACAUUCAUUUUCGUAAGGGGAAUAUGUUUGUUUUUUUGUAGUUUUUGAGUCAAUUGCAUACCGCUUUUAGCUGUACACAUUAAUUACCUUAAACAGUUUUCGUAAAUGCAUUUCAGAGAAAAGUGAAUUCUGAGAUUUGAAUAAUGCAUCUGACGUGUGGGAUGACGUCACGACGCACGUAUUUUGAUUUUUACCAGUCGUUCAAGACAGACGGAUUCAGUCCCAAGGUACGUUAAAAUAUCUUAAAAUUAAUAUAUUUGAUUAUCGUUUGACCAUUCUGAAGUUUAUCAGUAGACUAUCAUAUUUCGAAUGCGAAAUGUUGUCAAUAACGCGGUGUCUAACUCGCUAUUAGUGAUAAGCUGCUGUGUAGCUUAGCUUAGCUUAUAGCUAAUGUUAAAGGUUUGAAAGAUAGCACUGUUAGCCUGUUAAAUCGAAUUAGUACACCCGAUUGUUUUGUUAAAUAUAUGUAUUGGUGUGUAUGUAUAUGUUAAUGAAUAAAGGUAGCGUCAGAAAAUCUGUUUUUUUAAUGUAGCGUGAAAGUUAACCAUUUAUUGACUGUUUAGAGGUUGUAAGGCUUUUACCUAACUUAACUGUAUUUAGUAUUAAUGAUGCUGCAUUCUUUCCUCAGAAGCUAAAGUUUUUCAAAGACAUUUGUAGGGAUGACUUUGCAGCUAAUGAUUUCCUAAGGCUGAACCAAAACCUGCCAGACUAAAGUUAAUUUGGGAGAGAAAGACGUUGUAAACUUAAUCAUCUUGACAUUCUUCAAUGAGUAAUUGUUCAAUUUUUAGGCAAAUACUGUACACUUUGAAUGCUGUGAAUAAAACUAUAUUUUAAAUAUAUUUAAAA